rnacentral:rRNA from 1 species
CCUACGGGAGGCUGCAGUGGGGAAUAUUGCACAAUGGGGGAAACCCUGAUGCAGCGACGCCGCGUGAGUGAAGAAGUAAUUCGUUAUGGAAAGCUCUAUCAGCAGGGAAGAAAAUGACGGUACCUGAGUAAGAAGCCCCGUCUAACUAGGUGCCAGCAGCCGCGGUAAUACGUAGGCGGCAAGCGUUAUCCGGAUUUACUGGGUGUAAAGGGAGCGUAGAGGGCAGUGCAAGUCUGGAGUGAAAGGCGGGGGCUCAACCCUAGGACUGCUCUUGAAACUGUAAGGCUGGAGUGCAGGUGAGGUAAGUGGAAUUCCUAGUGUAGCGGUGAAAUGCGUAGAUAUUAGGAGGAACCCCAGUGGCGAAGGCAGCUUACUAGACUGUAACUGACGUUGAGGCUCGAAAGUGUGGGUAGCAAACAGGAUUAGAUACCCUAGUAGUC